AGAGCGAACGCUGGCGGCAGGCCUAACACAUGCAAGUCGAACGGACUCUUCGGAGUUAGUGGCGGACGGGUGAGUAACACGUGGGAACGUGCCUUUAGGUUCGGAAUAGCUCCUGGAAACGGGUGGUAAUACCGAAUGUGCCCUUCGGGGGAAAGAUUUAUCGCCUUUAGAGCGGCCCGCGUCUGAUUAGCUUGUUGGUGAGGUAAUGGCUCACCAAGGCUACGAUCAGUAGCUGGUCUGAGAGGAUGACCAGCCACAUUGGGACUGAGACACCGGACCCAAACUCCGUACGGGACGCAGCAGGUGGGGAAUCUUGCGCAAGUGGGACGAAAGCCCUAGGACGCAGGCCAUCGGCCGCGUGUAUGAGUAGAAGGUUCUAGGUAUUAGUUAAAAUUACUUUACGACCGGUAGAAGAUAA
rnacentral:rRNA from 1 species